AUUUUCAUUGCUUUCUAUCGUAACGGUAGAUGAAGAAACGUUGUUUUGUCGGAGAGUUCGUUUGAAUCGUCGGGGGUGGUGAACGAGGAAGAUCACGGGGGUGCAUACAUCAACCUGAAGGUCAAGUGACAGCUCGAAAUGGAGGAUGGGGAUGUAAUAAUGCUUCAUCAGACAUGAGUUGCUGUUGCCUGAAGGAUGUGAUCAUCGUUUACCCUGCAUCAUAAGUAGAAUUAGUUUAACAAGAGGUGAGGCCCAAGAUGCAUCUGCUAUCAGCUACUAUACAGACAUUGGUGCUAAGCUUUGUAUGCUUAGCGGAUGACAUUUUAUGCGUCCUUGCUUUUACAUAUUUUAAUGCAACGAGGCUGUUUUCCAAGCUCAAACACACGUAAUCUUCUUAUCAUAGCGGAGUAAUCUUACCCCGGCUCCAAGACUCGUCCUCUUCUACAACCAUAUGAGCGAAGAAGCACCGACGAAUUAGCUUGAUAUAUGCUAUGUGGGGAUCUCUUCCUUCUCCCUUUAUCCUUCCUUAAUUCUUGGAAGGCUGGUCCAAUUUGGUUCAUGGUGCUAUGUUAUGGUAAGAGUUUAGUGGACUAACGAAUUGCCAUUAUUGUACUGUCCCUUCUCAGUUGUAAAAGUGAAAGUUUAAUUCUUCGUUAGACAGUGAUUACCAUUGUGACUUUCUUGAAUAUCAAUCAUGUUUUAACUUUUAAGUUGUGAAAUUCAUACUAAGAAUGC